AGUUGAUACUGACCUCAGCUCUAAAGACAGAGACCAUGGGGCCCUGAAGGAAUGGAGCCUGAUGGUAUCGUUGAGAGCAACUGGAACGAGAUUAAAGACCAUUUUGAUGAUAUGAAUGCUCCUUCGAGGCAACUAUGCUUAUGGUUUUGAAAAACCAUCAGCCAUUCAGCAGAGGGCAGUCAUUCCUUGCAUUAAAGCAGUUGGAUGUAGAGCAGAAAGAAGCCCAGGCUCUGGUGCCGGGUCCUACAAGAGAGCUAGCCCAAACAGAUUUAACCAAAAAGUUAUCCUGGCACUUGGCGACUACAUAAGAGCCUCCUGCCAUGCUUGCAUCUAAGGCACAAAUGUUCUAAAUGAGAUGCAGAAACUCCAAGCUGAGGCUUACCACAUAGUGGUUGGGACCCCAGGAUGUGUUUUUGACUUGUUAAUCAGGAGGUUUCUGUCUCUUAAGUGGAUGAGAGUGACGUGAAUGACAGUGGGAGACAAGAAGCGAGUC